rnacentral:rRNA from 1 species
AGUGAACGCUGGCGGCAGGCCUAACACAUGCAAGUCGAACGGCAGCACAAGAGAGCUUGCUCUCUGGGUGGCGAGUGGCGGACGGGUGAGGAAUGCAUCGGAAUCUGCCCAUUUGUGGGGGAUAACCUCGGGAAACCGGGACUAAUACCGCAUACGACCUACGGGUGAAAGCAGGGGAUCUUCGGACCUUGCGCAGAUGGAUGAGCCGAUGCCGGAUUAGCUAGUUGGAGGGGUAAAGGCCCACCAAGGCGACGAUUCGUAGCUGGUCUGAGAGGAUGAUCAGCCACACUGGGACUGAGACACGGCCCAGACUCCUACGGGAGGCAGCAGUGGGGAAUAUUGGACAAUGGGCGCAAGCCUGAUCCAGCCAUGCCGCGUGUGUGAAGAAGGCCUUCGGGUUGUAAAGCACUUUUGUUGGGAAAGAAAAGCAGCCGGUUAAUACCCGGUUGUCAUGACGGUACCCAAAGAAUAAGCACCGGCUAACUUCGUG